rnacentral:rRNA from 1 species
CAUUGCGGCUCGGGAUCCUGAUCUCGGGCCACACCUGACUGAGGGUCGGUUGAUAUCAUAAGAGCAAAUUGUUUUGGGCGACGUCCGACUUUUUUGCCGAAGGCGCUCCAAAUUCAAAGAAAGACUCGGAGAAGGCCGCCUCUCUCGCCCUGGGAUACUUCACGGCACGAACGCUUCUAGGGCGGGGAAUUCUAAGGGGUCAGGGAGAGGAGACUUGCAAAGGGCCGCCGGGGGUCCGGGUCUUUGGGUUUUUAUUCGGACCAACGAGAAAAGCUCGCAGGGAAGAAGUCGGUGAAGUACCGGAAUCCUUCUUAAACCGGAGGGCCCCGAGAAAGAUCGCACUUCUGCAAAUUGCGGAUUGCCGCUCGCCGAUGAAAGAAAACAAGACUCUGAAAGCGCGCGCCGCCUCUCGUCGCUCGGUUAAAACACUUGCUCCAAUGUACACAUGAACUGAUUAAAAGUACAGUAUUUGAUCGCGACCUCAGAUCAGGUGAGACUACCCGCUAAAUUUAAGCAUAUUAAUAAGCGGAGGAAAAGAAACUAACAAGGAUUCCCUGAGUAACGGCGAGCGAAAAGGGAAAAGCCCAGCACCGAAUCUCGCACCGUG